GUGCCAGUCAUCUGGUGGUGAGUGAAAGUCACAGUCACACCUAAGGACCUCUGCUUGCUCUGUGAUGCUUUGGAAGGGUUAAACGGCAGCCUCGUUUCUUCUUAGCGCCUCCUUUUUCUUGUACCUCCAGUCAUUGUGGCUUCUCUGUGCCCCGGGGCAGCUCCAUCCGCAGAGGCCUCUCCUCAGUUAACCAGACUAUUUGGCCAGACUUCGGCAGGAAGACACAUUGCACGGUCCGCGUCCAAAAGACUGCCUCUGAGCAGGGCGAGGUUGGCAUGGCUCGCUGAAGUGGAGUCCCAGCCUGACUUUUCCGAACACAGGCCCAAGGGAGAAGAGAGGCAGGAAAGCAACGGGAACUGUCUCCUGGACCACUGCCCAGCUGAUCCUUCACUGCCUGCCUCCCUUUGAUGCGGAGACGCUUGCAUGGUCUGGCUCUACCGUACACACCUCCAACCUCUAGUGUAGCUUGAGUCACACCAUGCAGCAGAAGGUCAAGCACAGGGUGCCCAGCAGGCCUACUGCCAGGGCUCUUCGUCGACCAGGUGCUCAUCAGUGCUUCCACGGAAUGAAUGCAUCUGGCUCGACUCAUCUCCCCCUCUUCCUCCAGUUCCUUUCUCUCAGCACCUGGAGUCUACACUGGAGUCAGACAGGGAAGGUGGCUUUUGUGUCUCUGACUCCUACUCACUGGCUGUGUCACGUCAGCUCGGGCUCCUGGAGAUGGAACGCUACUUCCACUGGGAGCUCUGACCGUGACAGCAACUCCAAAGCCUCCCUCAGCAGCAGCAGCAGCAGCAGCAGCCGAGAUGCUGAGGGCCUCCCAGGAGAAGAAGGGUCACCUUGUUUUGGACUAAGUUGACAGCAGCUAGGUAUGUGGUUAAGAAAUAAAUAAAUAAAAGUUAUUUUUUUCCAGUACUGGGUGUUAAGCUCAGGGUUGUGCAUACCUGAGAUAUGUACUCUAUUACUUGGCUGCAUCCCGUAAGUAAUCUAGUACUUAGCUGUCUUCCUAGUCUUUUUUUUUUUCUCUUGAAGCAAAGUCUAAGUUACCCAGGCUGGACUUGACCCAGUGCCCCACAUAGCUGAGGUUAGAGUCCUGAACCACCAUGGCUGAGUGAUUUGAUAGCACAUUUUUUUUUUUUUGUCUUAUGACUCGACCAGGCAUCUGAAGUCUAAUGUCAGUCACCAGGGAUCCAGUAAAAGGGAUACCUCCCUGGAUCUAGACCCUUCCAACUGGAGCAGAUCAAAGGCAAGGGGGAUUAUUUCAUCUAAAGGCGAUAGGGUGAGAUGCUGGGCAAGCCUGCCUUGACCCUUAUGAUGACCAAGUUACUUGUGACUGUUUAAGUUUAAAGGAGAUAAAUUAAGGGCCUUGGUCAUAUUAACAACUUCCCAGUGCUCAAUGGUCAUUUAACAGUGGCUCGUAGGAGCUGGCAAGAUGGUUCCAUGGGAAAGGGAGCUUGCCACCCAUCUUGAUGACCUGAGUUCAGACCCUGGAAACUCCAAGGCAGGAGAGAAUCAGUUUCCCCUAAAGUUGUGUGCUGAGGUCCACAUACAUGCUGUGGCCUAUAUGCUGACGAGGGCAUGUGCGUGUGCACACCCCUACAGACACCCAUACACAUACUAAACAAAUAGCCCCUUAGCUGGGCUAAGGAGUUGACUCUGUAGUUUGGAGUACUUUCUUCACAAGCAUGAGAAUGUGAGUAUAGGUCUUAGGCACCCACAAAAAAAGCCAGGGCUUGGCAGGGCACACAGCUAUAACUCCACCUUUGGGGAUGGGGUGGGGCAGGAGGUAGCUAGAGCUUCAGGGCUGGCUGGUCAGUCGAUUCGGCUGAAAAACCCUAAGCUUUAGGGUCAAUGAGAAACCCUGUCUCAAGGAAAUAAGAUGGAGUGAGAAGGAUGCCUGACAUACCUCUGGCUUCUACACAACAUGUGCUCUCCCGUGCAUAUACCACACACAUGCACGCACACACGCACACACAUGCAUGCACACACACACGUAUGUAUACAUACAUGCACACGCACACACACACAAGAUCUACUACUGCAGAGAGUUCUACUUUACAACAUUGAUUUUAGUCCAAUGGUUGGAAAAGAAGCAAAGGCAAAAAGUAUUCCAAGAAAGAGUAAAUGUGUAGUUAUUCUUUCUAGACUAAACUAUUCCCUCCUGGAGGGGGAAGGGCACCUCAUAAGAUUCAGAAAGCUCAGUCAGGUAGUGGUGAUGCAUGUCUAUAAAUAAUCCCAGCACUCAGGAGGCAGAGGCAGGUGAAUCUCUGUAAGCUCAAGGCCAGUCUUGUCUACAGAGUGAGUUCCAGGACGGCCAGGACUGUUACGUAGAGAAACCCUGUCUCAAAAAACCAAAAGUUAAAAAAAAAAGACCCAGAAAGCUAAAGCAACUUCAUAAGUUUUUGUGUUCAGAAAGUUAUGAGCAUAAAACAGUUUCUGGAGGCUGGGGUUGGGGUGGAGCUCCAGGGACACAGCUUUCAUGAGUUGUUGCCUGUGCUGAGGUGGCGUUUUGGUGAUGCAGCUGCCUUUGAAUACCAUGUA